rnacentral:tRNA from 1 species
UGGGGUGUAGCCAAGUGGUAAGGCAGCGGUUUUUGGUACCGACAUGCGCUGGUUCGAAUCCAGCCACCCCAGCCA